AAAUGCGUAGAGAUCGGGAGGAAUACCAGUGGCGAAGGCGGCUUUCUGGACUGACACUGACACUGAGGUGCGAAAGCGUGGGUAGCAAACAGGAUUAGAUACCCUGGUAGUCCACGCCGUAAACGAUGUCGACCAGCCGUUGGGUGCCUAGCGCACUUUGUGGCGAAGUUAACGCGAUAAGUCGACCGCCUGGGGAGUACGGCCGCAAGGUUAAAACUCAAAUGAAUUGACGGGGGCCCGCACAAGCGGUGGAGCAUGUGGUUUAAUUCGAUGCAACGCGAAGAACCUUACCUACUCUUGACAUCCUGCGAACUUGUGAGAGAUCACUUGGUGCCUUCGGGAGCGCAGAGACAGGUGCUGCAUGGCUGUCGUCAGCUCGUGUUGUGAAAUGUUGGGUUAAGUCCCGUAACGAGCGCAACCCUUGUCCUUAUUUGCCAGCGGGUAAUGCCGGGAACUCUAAGGAGACUGCCGGUGACAAACCGGAGGAAGGUGGGGACGACGUCAAGUCAUCAUGGCCCUUACGAGUAGGGCUACACACGUGCUACAAUGGCCGGUACAAAGGGUUGCGGGCUCGCGAGAGUCAGCUAAUCCCGAAAAGCCGGUCUCAGUCCGGAUCGGAGUCUGCAACUCGACUCCGUGAAGUCGGAAUCGCUAGUAAUCGUGAAUCAGAAUGUCACGGUGAAUACGUUCCCGGGCCUUGUACACACCGCCCGU
rnacentral:rRNA from 1 species